rnacentral:lncRNA from 1 species
GUGGUGACUGAAACCACACACCAUGUUGGGAGACUUCCAAACAAGUCUAGAGAGUUGGCACUUAGGGAUGAAGAAAUCAUCUUCUGGGUACACUUGGUCUUUCCUGAUGAAGCUUUUAAGAGAAAAGCAGAGUUGACCCUGGGCUUUCAAAAAACUCUUCUUUCAGGCAAAACCUCAGAGAGAACUGGCUGCUAGUGAUCCUCUGCAGAGACCUUGAAGAGCACGGCAAUUAUGAAACUUCAACAAGAAAAGAUUUAAGCUGAUCUUUAAAAAAAAUAUACUGUCAGGAAUUUUGUAGAAAUGACUUUAAUGUAAUAACUGCUUCUUUGACUUAUGUUUUGUCUGGUGGUGAAAAGAAAAAUAUUUAUAAAAGCAUGCCUGUGUCCUAAAAUUGGGGACACAAACUUAAAUGACUGAAGGCACUUAAGGAGUGGAGGCAAGGAUGGUGAAACCAGGCCCUGUACCAAGCAGGAGAGCGUGAACCUGCUAAAGAGAGUGACUGCUUCUCAUUUCCAGUCGAUGCGACUGGUGUCACAUUCCAGUCAAAUGGAGUUGCGACACCAUUUCAGCCACAGCGAUUGAUCUGGAUUUUCUGUAAAAUUCCCUGAUUUUUACAUAUUGCCAAUUAAUUAAUUAAUUAAAAAGAAAUGUAGAUGUUCAA